AACGAACGCUGGCGGCAGGCCUAAUACAUGCAAGUCGAACGCCCCGCAAGGGGAGUGGCGCACGGGUGAGUAACGCGUGGGGAUGUGCCCUUGGGUACGGAACAACAUCGGGAAACUGGUGCUAAUACCGUAUAAUGACUCCGGUCCAAAGAUUUAUCGCCCAAGGAUCAACCCGCGUUGGAUUAGCUAGUUGGUGAGGUAACGGCUCACCAAGGCUACGAUCCAUAGCUGGUCUUAGAGGAUGAUCAGCCACACUGGAACUGAGACACGGUCCAGACUCCUACGGGAGGCAGCAGUAAGGAAUAUUGGACAAUGGGGGAAACCCUGAUCCAGCCAUGCCGCGUGAAUGAAGAAGGCCUUAGGGUUGUAAAGUUCUUUUAGAUGUGAAGAUAAUGACGGUAGCAUCAGAAAGAGCUCCGGCUAACUCCGUGCCAGCCGCCGCAGUAA
rnacentral:rRNA from 1 species